rnacentral:tRNA from 24 species
GCGGGAAUAGCUCAGUGGUAGAGCACAACCUUGCCAAGGUUGGGGCCGCGGGUUCGAUCCCCGUUUCCCGCUCCA